rnacentral:rRNA from 1 species
CCUACGGGGGGCAGCAGUGGGGAAUAUUGCACAAUGGGGGAAACUCUGAUGCAGCGACGCCGCGUGAGUGAAGAAGUAUCUCGGUACGUAAAGCUCUAUCAGCAGGGAAGAAAAUGACGGUAACUGACUAAGAAGCCCCGGCCAACUACGUGCCAGCAGCCGCGGUAAUACGUAGGGGGCAAGCGUUAUCCGGAUUUACUGGGUGGAAAGGGAGCGUAGACGGCAGCAUAAGUUUGGUGUGAAAUCCCGGGGCUUAACCCCGGAACUGCUUUGGAAACUGGGCGGCUGGAGUGCAGGAGGGGUAAGUGGAAUUCCUGGUGUAGCGGUGGAAUGCGUAGAUAUUAGGAGGAACACCAGUGGCGAAGGCGGCUUACUGGACUGUAACUGACGUUGAGGCUCGAAAGCGUGGGGAGCAAACAGGAUUAGAUACCCUGGUAGUC